UUUUUAUGGAGAGUUUGAUCCUGGCUCAGGAUGAACGCUGGCGGCGUGCCUAAUACAUGCAAGUCGAGCGAACAGAUAAGGAGCUUGCUCCUUUGACGUUAGCGGCGGACGGGUGAGUAACACGUGGAUAACCUACCUAUAAGACUGGGAUAACUUCGGGAAACCGGAGCUAAUACCGGAUAAGAUUUUGAACCGCAUGGUUCAAUAGUGAAAGACG
rnacentral:rRNA from 1 species